UACGAAGGGGGCUAGCGUUGUUCGGAAUUACUGGGCGUAAAGCGCACGUAGGCGGAUACUUAAGUUAGGGGUGAAAUCCCGGGGCUCAACCCCGGAACUGCCUUUAAUACUGGGUAUCUCGAGUUCGAGAGAGGUGAGUGGAAUUCCGAGUGUAGAGGUGAAAUUCGUAGAUAUUCGCAAGAACACCAGUGGCGAAGGCGGCUCACUGGCUCGGUACUGACGCUGAGGUGCGAAAGCGUGGGGAGCAAACAGG
rnacentral:rRNA from 1 species